AGUUGCUCGAAAGAGGUUUGUGUAGAUCGGUUCAGUCGGUCAUUGACAGCGACGUUAUUGCGCAUCCACUAGAUGAACCCAAGGAAUAUGACGCACAGAUUCCCAUGCGAAUAUCGUUAAAUGAUAUCGCUCUGUCAACCGACGACAUCGCGAACGUAGAAGAAUCUUCGCAGCCAAUCGACGAGGACGUGGUGACUAAGCGGGCCCGUUCGGGGUUUGAUCGCCGGAACAGGAAGCUAUGGUACGAUAAAUGCUGGCGUACUGAUCGCAAGACGUGCUACCGCGGCAGCAACGGUCAGCGACGGUGCGAGUUCAUCUGGACGUGUGCGUGAAUGAAGCAAUCAGAGACGCCCAGCUGUGCCACCUCGUCGAUUCUUAUAGUUAUGGUUAUUCCUACCAUAAAACGCGUGCCCAAGGAAGCUGAGAGAGAGAGAGAGAGAGAGAGAGAGAGAGAGAGAGAGAGUGAGGGAUAGACGGAGCGUGCGUUUCGUGAUUAUAUGUUAUUCACGCAAAGCGACACGUGCACAUGCCAACUCACUAAAAUCUACGCACAAACACAAUCAUGCACCCAAACCCAUAUAUACGCUCGUCCUCCACAAACGCGCACGCACGCACGCACGCACGCACGCACGGACAGACGCACUCACGCCCACUAACGCAUGCACGAAUACCCUAAUUACGUACAGAUGCAACCGCACGCGAACAACAAAAGUACACACCGUCGCACUGAAAAAUGCUACGCACUCAAAUGUGCACGCACUCACGCGCGCACAUGCAGCCCUAGGGUGCCAACACACGGACGUCAUCGACAACGACGCUUUCCCCUGCAGCUACAAGCAUCGUCCUUAUCACGAACGAGACUCAUGAUACCUGCUUGCUGAUAUCAGGAGCUAAUAACGACAAAUUUGUCAUUAUUAGCUCCUGCUGAUAUUAACAUGCCCAGCUGCAAUUAAUGUGUGUGCAUGCAUGUUGAGGUGCCGGGUUGUCCAUUGACAGCUUAAUUUGUAUGACCAGAUGACCUUUAUAGUUGUGAAUAGUUUUUAACCCCCAGCACAGCAUUUACGCAGAAGAGCAGGAACAUUUAGCAAUCUCUCGUCGCCCACAGCGGAAGCAACGACAUGGACGAUGUCGUCCAUUUAUUUAUAGAGUAGAGUACAGGAUCUAUAUAUUCCUGCAUCCCACGUUAUAAAGUAGAGCCGAUAAUAACGAUCGAUCUAUCGUAGACAUCCAGUGCUUUGUGUUACGUUCUGAACGAAAUCACCCUUAUGAAAAUCAUCAACGACAAUAGAUCUGUGUACGGCAUAUAAACGUGUAAAAGAGAGAUGGAUACAUAAAUAGACAUUCUUGUGUACGAGUGGAAUCGUAUGAAAUAUGACCGCAUAAUAAACCAGUAUAAAAUGUAUACCAA